AUCGGUAGCUGGUCUGAGAGGAUGACCAGCCACACUGGAACUGAGACACGGUCCAGACUCCUACGGGAGGCAGCAGUGGGGAAUAUUGGACAAUGGGGGGAACCCUGAUCCAGCAAUGCCGCGUGUGUGAAGAAGGCCUGAGGGUUGUAAAGCACUUUCAGUGGGGAGGAGGGUUGACAGGUUAAGAGCUGGUUGACUGGACGUUACCCACAGAAGAAGCACCGGCUAACUCCGUGCCAGCAGCCGCGGUAAUACGGAGGGUGCGAGCGUUAAUCGGAAUUACUGGGCGUAAAGGGUGCGUAGGUGGUUUGAUAAGUUAUCUGUGAAAGCCCUGGGCUCAACCUGGGAACUGCAGAUAAGACUGUUGAACUCGAGUAUAGGAGAGGGUAGUGGAAUUUCCGGUGUAGCGGUGAAAUGCGUAGAGAUCGGAAGGAACACCAGUGGCGAAGGCGGCUACCUGGCCUAAUACUGACACUGAGGCACGAAAGCGUGGGGAGCAAACAGGAUUAGAUACCCUGGUAGUCCACGCUGUAAACGAUGUCAACUAGCUGUUGGUCUUAUGAAUGAGAUUAGUGGCGCAGCAAC
rnacentral:rRNA from 1 species